rnacentral:sRNA from 1 species
UUAUAUUACAGGUAGCAAUACGCUGUAUACUCGUGUAUCCGAAUUAACGUUUAAGCGUCAUUAGAUGGCGCCGGUCACGAGGAACCACCCUUCGGGGUGGUUUUUAAUU